GUUCCCGUAUGAUCACCGAAGUUAAGUAACAUUGAGCUUUGUCAGUACCUUGAUGGCUGACUGCUUGGGAAUACUGGGUGCUGUAAG